AACUCUCUGACUGCUAAACUUCCCAGCAACUGCUCAUCCCAACAGCCGGCGCCCUCCACCCCCUCACCUGCCAGCGUCUCCUUCACCCAGUCCCGCUGGGGUCCGGCAUGGUCAGGUGCGUCCGUCGUUCUGUGCGUAGGAUCAGCGCCAGGAGCCGCCGGCUGAAGGUGCACAGUUACACCAGGCGAAAACCUGCAAGGACUUCGUCAAAGAACAGUUGCAUAGCGGGACCCGCACACGGGGAUGCCAAUAACUCCACCGCCACCAAAUGGAUUAAAAAGACAACACAGUCGCCAUGUGACCCACUAUCCAACCUCAGGGGAAUUAUUAACUAACAAGUUGAUUUGGCCAAGAUGGGUUUGUUUGUUUUUUAAGUGUUUGGGGGAAAUAAGAGGCAAUCCUGUGCUUGGGAUUUAAAAAAACGUAGAGAUCCGUUUGUAGUUGUUUUAAAGUAGAGAAAUGCAGGUUGUUGUCAUGGUGACGCCGAGUUUGAAGAGGGAUCCCAGGAGACGGGAUGUGGGCGUUUCAUUCAGAAACAAAAGCGACAACAGAAAGAGAGACAGUGUGCAACGAACGUUAAGCUGCAGCGACUCCGAGCCAGGGAGCACUUGUUAGCAAAGCAAGCCAGGCAGAAAUUACAAGAUGUUCGCAGAUUGUUUUAGAUUAGAACAAAAUUCACUUUUGAUGAUGAUUUUUUUUUUCUAAACUCACUUGUAAAUUACUUUGGUAUAAUCUGAUCAGCAGGAGAAUGAUAUCUAUUGUGUGAAACUUAUUUUUUUUUUUUAGUUCUUUUUAAAUCUCGUUUCCAAUUAAAAAAAACAUUUCCGUCUCAAUUUGAUUUUCUGCGAAAAUUGGUACCAAGAUCCGGCUACAGUUUAUGUCCAGCGAUACUACUCUUGGACGUUAUUAUGCGUAACCAUUACAUUUGAUAAGAUUCGUAAGGAAGAAAUUAAAUUAAAAUUCGAACCCCC